rnacentral:rRNA from 1 species
UACGGGGGGAGCAAGCGUUGUUCGGAUUUACUGGGCGUAAAGGGCGCGUAGGCGGUCAGCACAAGUCAGUUGUGAAAUCUCCGAGCUUAACUCGGAAAGGUCAACUGAUACUGUGCGACUAGAGUGCGGAAGGGGCAACUGGAAUUCUUGGUGUAGCGGUGAAAUGCGUAGAUAUCAAGAGGAACACCUGCGGCGAAGGCGGGUUGCUGGGCCGACACGUGACGCUGAAGCGCGAAAGCCAGGGGAGCGAACGGG